rnacentral:rRNA from 1 species
CCUACGGGUGGCAGCAGUGGGGAAUAUUGCACAAUGGGCGCAAGCCUGAUGCAGCCAUGCCGCGUGUGUGAAGCAGGCCUUCGGGUUGUAAAGCACUUUCAGCGGGGAGGAAGGCGGUGAGGUUAAUAACCUCAUCGAUUGACGUUACCCGCAGAAGAAGCACCGGCUAACUCCGUGCCAGCAGCCGCGGUAAUACGGAGGGUGCAAGCGUUAAUCGGAAUUACUGGGCGUAAAGCGCACGCAGGCGGUCUGUCAAGUCGGAUGUGAAAUCCCCGGGCUCAACCUGGGAACUGCAUUCGAAACUGGCAGGCUAGAGUCUUGUAGAGGGGGGCAGAAUUCCAGGUGUAGCGGUGAAAUGCGUAGAGAUCUGGAGGAAUACCGGUGGCGAAGGCGGCCCCCUGGACAAAGACUGACGCUCAGGUGCGAAAGCGUGGGGAGCAAACAGGAUUAGAUACCCCAGUAGUC